rnacentral:rRNA from 1 species
AUUGAACGCUGGCGGCAGGCCUAACACAUGCAAGUCGAGCAGAUGAAAGGAGCUUGCUCCUGGAUUCAGCGGCGGACGGGUGAGUAAUGCCUAGGAAUCUGCCUGGUAGUGGGGGACAACGUCCCGAAAGGGACGCUAAUACCGCAUACGUCCUACGGGAGAAAGCAGGGGACCAUCGGGCCUUGCGCUAUCAGAUGAGCCUAGGUCGGAUUAGCUAGUUGGUGAGGUAAUGGCUCACCAAGGCGACGAUCCGUAACUGGUCUGAGAGGAUGGUCAGUCACACUGGAACUGAGACACGGUCCAGACUCCUACGGGAGGCAGCAGUGGGGAAUAUUGGACAAUGGGCGAAAGCCUGAUCCAGCCAUGCCGCGUGUGUGAAGAAGGUCUUCGGAUUGUAAAGCACUUUAAGUUGGGAGGAAGGGCAGUAAGUUAAUACCUUGCUGUUUUGACGUUACCGACAGAAUAAGCACCGGCUAACUCUGUGCCAGCCGCCGCAGUAAAAC